AGCGAACGCUGGCGACAGGCCUAACACAUGCAAGUCGAACGAACCUUUCGGGGUUAGUGGCGGACGGGUGAGUAACACGUGGGAACGUGCCUUUAGGUUCGGAAUAACUCAGGGAAACUUGUGCUAAUACCGAAUGUGCCCUUCGGGGGAAAGAUUAAUCGCCUUUAGAGCGGCCCGCGUCUGAUUAGCUAGUUGGUUGAGGUAAUGGCUCACCAAGGCGACGAUCAGUAGCUGGUCUGAGAGGAUGAUCAGCCACAUUGGGACUGAGACACGGCCCAAACUCCUACGGGAGGCAGCAGUGGGGAAUCUUGCGCAAUGGGCGAAAGCCUGACGCAGCCAUGCCGCGUGAAUGAUGAAGGUCUUAGGAUUGUAAAAUUCUUUCACCGGGGACGAUAAUGACGGUACCCGGAGAAGAAGCCCCGGCUAACUUCGUG
rnacentral:rRNA from 1 species